CAGAGCCAGAUUCCACCGAGAGGGGCGUUCAUAUUAACCCCCUUGCGUCUGCAUCAGGUGUUGGACAAUGAUUUCAGGUCUUAGCCUGAACUUUUGAAUGAGAGGUGCCCCAUCAACUGGACUUCUCCUGAGUGUUGAAAAGGGCAUCUUUGUAACUAUAAUGACUCCAGAGAAGAUUUUGUUUUCAGUUGUAAAACAGGAAUGGGGG